GACGAACGCUGGCGGCGUGCCUAAUACAUGCCAGUAGAACGCUGAAGAGAGGAGCUUGCUCUUCUUGGAUGAGUUGCGAACGGGUGAGUAACGCGUAGGUAACCUGCCUUGUAGCGGGGGAUAACUAUCGGAAACGAUAGCUAAUACCGCAUAACAAUGGAUGACACAUGUCAUUUAUUUUAAAUGGGCAAUUGCUCCACUACAAUAUGGACCUGAGUUGUAUUAGCUAGUAGGUGAGGUAAUGGCUCAUCUAGGCGACGAUACAUAGCCGGCCUGAGAGGGUGAUCGGCCGCACUGGGACAGAGAGAAGACCCUGAAUGCGAGGGGAGGGAGCAGUAAGGAGCCUUCGGAAAUUGGGGCAACGCUGACCGGAAAGAGCCGAGUGGGUGAAAGAGGUUUUCGGAGCGUAAAGCUCUUUUGUAAGUCCAGAACGAGUGUGAGAGUGGAAAGUUCACACUGUGACGGUAGCUUGACAGAAAGGAACGGCUAACUACGUG
rnacentral:rRNA from 1 species